GUGCCGCCCCGCGGUAAUACGGAGGGUGCAAGCGUUGUCCGGAAUCCCUGGGCGUAAAGGGUGCGCAGGCGGGGCAGCAAGUCGGAGGUGAAAGCCCAUGGCUCAACCAUGGAAGUGCCUUCGAAACUGUUGCUCUUGAGUCCCGGAGAGGCUGACGGAAUUCGUGGUGUAGCGGUGAAAUGCGUAGAUAUCACGAGGAACACCAGAGGCGAAAGCGGACAGCUGGACGGGUACUGACGCUCAGGCACGAAAGCGUGGGGAGCAAACAGGAUUAGAUGCCCCAGUAGUCC
rnacentral:rRNA from 1 species